AGGACGAACGCUGGCGGCGUGCUUAACACAUGCAAGUCGAGGGCGGUAGCAAUACCGACCGGCGAACGGGUGCGUAACACGUGAGCGACCUACCGAGGUGUGGGGGAUAGUCGGCCUAACGGCCGGGUAAUACCGCAUACGUUCUCUAUUCGGCAUCGAAUGGAGAGGAAACCUUUCGGGCACUUUGAGGGGCUCGCGGCCUAUCAGCUAGUUGGUGAGGUAACGGCUCACCAAGGCGACGACGGGUAGC
rnacentral:rRNA from 1 species